rnacentral:rRNA from 1 species
AUGAACGCUGGCGGCAGGCCUAACACAUGCAAGUCGAACGGAAACAUGUCUAGCUUGCUAGAUGAUGUCGAGUGGCGGACGGGUGAGUAAUGCUUGGGAACUUGCCUUUGCGAGGGGGAUAACAGUUGGAAACGACUGCUAAUACCGCAUAAUGUCUUCGGACCAAACGGGGCUUAGGCUCCGGCGCAAAGAGAGGCCCAAGUGAGAUUAGCUAGUUGGUGAGGUAAAGGCUCACCAAGGCAACGAUCUCUAGCUGUUCUGAGAGGAAGAUCAGCCACACUGGGACUGAGACACGGCCCAGACUCCUACGGGAGGCAGCAGUGGGGAAUAUUGCACAAUGGGGGAAACCCUGAUGCAGCCAUGCCGCGUGUGUGAAGAAGGCCUUCGGGUUGUAAAGCACUUUCAGUUGUGAGGAAAAGUUAGUAGUUAAUACCUGCUAGCC